UACAGAGGAUGCAAGCGUUAUCCGGAUUGAUUGGGCGUAAAGCGUCUGUAGGUGGCUUUUUAAGUCCGCCGUCAAAUCCCAGGGCUCAACUCUGGACAGGCGGUGGAAACUACCAAGCUGGAGUACGGUAGGGGCAGAGGGAAUUUCCGGUGGAGCGGUGAAAUGCGUAGAUAUCAGGAGGAACACCUGCGGUGUAGACGGCUUACUGGACCAUAACUGACGCUGAGGCACGAAAGCGUGGGUAGCAAACAGG
rnacentral:rRNA from 1 species